CUGACUCCCGCCCCACCCCGCCCCGCCCCGCCCGGCUGCGAGUGUCUUCCUCUGCCUCGUAUUCCUCCCUGCGCUCCCCUGCAGGUCAGGGGCUGCGCGGCCGCCAGCACCAGUGACAGUAAGAGACAGGGUGAUAUGAGAGGUUCGGCUGUGCCCUGCACUGGAGAGCUUACUGGUAGAACAAUUAAUCCCUGAAGAGACUGAAGUGGGUUUCAGGAUGGCGAAAGAGGAGCCCCCGAGUAUCUCCAAGGACCUGCAGGAGCUACAGAGGAAGCUAUCUUUGCUGAUAGAAUCCAUCCAGAAUAACUCAGAGGUGGUAGCCCUUUUGAAGUCUCCAGUGGGUCAGUACCUGGACAGGCAUCCUUUUGUGGCUCUCACCUUGCUGGUGUUUGCUGCGAUGUCGGCCGUUCCUGUUGGGUUCUUCCUGCUCCUCGUGGUGCUUACCUUCCUGGUCGCUUUUGUGGGAGUCAUAUUACUGGAAGGACUGAUCAUCUCUGUGGGCGGCCUCUCACUGCUUUGUGUCCUCUGUGGCUUGGGUUUCGUGUCACUCAUCAUAUCGGGGACAAUUAUAGUGUCCUACAUGGUGGUCUCCAGCCUCGUCAACUACUGGUUUUCUCCCAGAAUCUGAGUCCCAAUUGGGAUGUGACUCCAUUGUGCUUCAUGUAAGCUCUUGCUGAAGUGAGGACAGUGGCUGGGACCCAUCGAGCACUUGCUCUGCACCAGGGACUCCGCUCUGCACUUUCCAGGCCUUAGCUCACGUAAUCCUCACACCCACCCUGUGGGGCAGAUCAUUCACACAACAAAACUCCAGUGGCGACUGUCAGCUGGCUAUGAAGUCCACAGACUUGGAGGGGCUUUACCAGGAAUGACCGACUGAAUGGAACCAGAGCGUUCUUCCGUGCAGUUCUGGAAGGCUGUUGGAUCAUGCACGCCCCUCAGGAUUAUGACUGAGAAGGGGGCCAGGUAGUCAAGCACUCCUUGGAGGUGGCCUCUAGCCUUCUCACUUAUUUGUAGGAUCCUACAGAGGCAAAUUGGAGAUUUUGUUGCUCUUGUGUCAAUUCUGUGGGCUCACCCACCCUCACCUGGAGAAUCAGCAGAGAACUGCAGUGGCUUAUCAGCUCCUCCUGCCUCUCACCCCCUCCUCCCCAGAUAUGCAGACUUGACCUUGGCAGGAUCCUGAGCCUCUAGAGCCAGGCAGCUUGACCCCAAAGGCUCAGAUCUUUGUCCAAAAGCCCAAUUUGGGGCAAAAAUGGAUUGUUUUUUCUUUUUCUUCUGUUUUAUUUUAUGAUGUUUUUGGAAAUGAGAAAAGCUGUUUAUUUCUUCACUCACUUGAAACAAGAGGUAGGGGGAAAAAUUCCAAACAGAACCAUCUCUUCUGCCUUAUUAGCUUUUUGUCAGAAAGAAUAGCAACAGUUGGUGAUAAUGGCCCCUCAGACAAAGUUGGAAAAUAGGGUCCAAACUUAUGGCCAAGACCAUUUUUUAAAAGUCUAAACCUAUAGUUUCCACUGUUGAGUACUGUUACAUGCUGUUACUCUUUUAAAUGUUUGCACUUGAUACUUUUGUAUUGUUUUAAAGAACUUGCCGUUAAGCCAUUUCUUUAAAAAGUCCUAUGUAAUACUAAAGGACUACAAUAAUUUUAAAAACCCUAUGGGAUUUCUUCUUCAGUGGUUGGUUUGCUGUGGCUUUUCAUUCAAUAAAUAUUUAUUUAGACUA